UACGUAGGGUGCAAGCGUUGUCCGGAAUUACUGGGCGUAAAGGGCUCGUAGGCGGCCAACUAAGUCGGACGUGAAAUCCCCAGGCUCAACCUGGGAACUGCGUCCGAUACUGGAUGGCUUGAAUUCGGGAGAGGGAUGCAGAAUUCCAGGUGUAGCGGUGAAAUGCGUAGAUAUCUGGAGGAAUACCGGUGGCGAAGGCGGCAUCCUGGACCGACAUUGACGCUGAUGAGCGAAAGCCAGGGGAGCAAACGGG
rnacentral:rRNA from 1 species